rnacentral:rRNA from 1 species
UACGUAGGGUGCAAGCGUUAAUCGGAAUUACUGGGCGUAAAGCGUGCGCAGGCGGUUAUGUAAGACAGGUGUGAAAUCCCAGGGCUUAACCUUGGAACUGCAUUUGUGACUGCAUAGCUAGAGUACGGUAGAGGGGGAUGGAAUUCCGCGUGUAGCAGUGAAAUGCGUAGAUAUCGGGAGGAACACCAGUGGCGAAGGCGACUACCUGGCCUGUUCUUGACGCUGAGGCGCGAAAGCUAGGGGAGCAAACGGG